rnacentral:tRNA from 27 species
GGAGGGGUUCCCGAGUGGCCAAAGGGACCAGAUUGUAAAUCUGAUGGCUCAGCCUUCGGUGGUUCGAAUCCACCUCCCUCCACCA